CUCAACAUAGCCUGUGCAACAGAAAUUUUCUUCUGGAUGAAGCUGUCCAGCUCUUCUGUUCAUUGCGAAUCAAGAAUGAGUAAGACACUCUGCUCUAAAGUGGUUGUGACGCAUAUUUUGAGUGGCAGAAGAUGUCUGGAGUUCUGCAUUAAAUUUCCCUGGUGCUUUGAAGAUCUUUCCUUCCCUAUGAUGCCUGCAAGUGGAUUACAUAUAGUGUGGCCAAGAACCUUGGACCUCAAAUCUAAAUCCUGUAAAGCAUUUCCCCAACUGUCUUGCUUUUAUGGCACUCUUUGUGGACUGGGGAGAUGCAUUAAAAUUGUCUGAAGCAGAAUAAAAAACAGAAUCUCAAUUCAUCCACUGAAACUGAAUACACUCUGGAUGACAAGUGUAGGGAGUGUAAGGUAGAGAGGACUGACAGCUUCUACCUUGGUUGUGACUUUUAACAAAGGGCUGCUUUAACUUUAGGAUAUAUUGAUGGUCUAUAAACAUAGAUUGAAGCUAGGCCUGCUUUGCAACCUCAAGUAAGGGAACUAAGUCAUUGAAAGCAAUGACUUAGCUCUAUCUUUGAUAGUUCCUGUUAGACGACUUACAUGGCACUCUCUCAGCAUACUGCUCUUGUGUGCCCUUACCCUAAAUAUUUCAGCUCCUAAGCUAUGGAACAGGAUAAAACUUGAUGAAGUGGACAAUGUUUAUACAAUCUGUGGUUGCACUAAAUAAUGAUAA